rnacentral:lncRNA from 1 species
UUGGGAAAACAAGCAUGGCAACUAAUUUGCCUUUCAUACUGAAGAAAAGUAAGUUGGAGAAGUAAUAAAUAUUCAUACUUACUAUCUGUCCUAGCUAUACUGUGCUAUUUUCUGUUCUUCUGGCAGAAAUUUAACGUCAAAUAAUCUCAAUGAAUCUCUUGUCUGGGUGUCACCACAGGAGCCAGAUGUGCCUGGAAAGUACUCCUUCUAUCUGUGAGUGGGGUCCCAUGAUGUAUCAUUGGCAGUUCUUCAUCUUCUUGACUUUCAGAUGUGAUAUAAUUUAAGAUUUCUACUGGAUCUUCCUGAACGGGCUGAUAGUCCAGGAGAAAAUCAUUCCCACAGUCUUCAUCAACUUCUUCAGUGGUUUUCUUAAUAUCUGGUUCUGAAUUUGAUGACUGUGCCUUUUCCACCAGAACUUCUCGUAUCUUCUCCACCCA